rnacentral:sRNA from 1 species
UUAAACCUAAAACACUAUCAUGUCGUUGUAGUACUGAAGGUUGUCAAUCCAAAUGGGUGUGAUGCUAACAAUCAAGAUGUGAUCAGAAGUCACUAAGUCAAGCCAAGCAAUAACAGGUUUUGGUGUGUUCUAGCAGUCCUAAGUGAACCUGCAGAAAACAGAAAAUCAAGCAGAAACAAAUAAACACUCGACCAACACAGCUCGUUACAGAGCACUGGGUGUGGUCGAGUGACAGGUCGAGUAACAGACAGAAAAUGUAACAGGGAUACUCGACUGCACAGUCUGUUGCCAGACAACUGGGUGGUCGAGUACCAGGUCGAGUAACAGUAAAGAAUUGCAGAAACUAAGCAACAGAUGACAGGAUGCAGUAAACAGCAGUAGAGUAAACAAUAAAAUCAAUCAAAUAAAGAAUUCCCGAGAAUGGGGUAAUCGAGUAGUUUCGUUUCCUCAGUUUACAAGUGAUUGACAUGCUCAAUAAAUUACCCUACACAACAAGUUCAUUAACCAAAUCUAAGUGCCACCGCAACAGAGACCCUCAAGUUAACCUAGUCCCAGACUCAAUCACCAUUGACGAGAGCUAACCUAACAAGCAUUACGAAUGAACAAGUUAAAGCCAAAACGCUCCCUGCAACCAAUACCUUGGUACAGGGCCACGAAUCUCUGAAAUUAGUGGUUCAGACAUUUCAUCGAACACCUAUUGGGCGCGGAAAUGUCUGGGCUCAAAUUCCAGUUGAUCAGAAAGCAAUAGGCAUUAAGAACAACUAAUCCAGAAGGGAUCUAUCAAUCAAUACUCAACCACCUAGCAUACUGAGAAUUCUACACUACUCUAACCCAUCCUCAGAAACCUAUUCACUACUCAGACAUCAUAACAGAAAGCAUAAACGUUGAACAACUUGAAAACAUGAUAACAACUGUGUAACAGCAGGAUGAUAACAGAAUGAACAACAGUAAACGAAAUCAAGAACAGAAACUAAAUACUGAAUACUGAAUAGAUAAAGAAAAAUCCGGAUUACAAAAGGUCUAGAACACAAGGUCUGCGGAAUAAAACUAGAUAAAAACUUGUCUGCGAAAAUGUGAAGUACAUGCUACUUAUAGCCAAAUAUUCCGAAACCCUAAUACUUAAAACGACGAAGUAUUGGGACGGAUUAAGAACUGUACUCAACCCACGUAGUCGAGUGGGAGGUCGAGUGAAUAGCUUCUUUUCUUCCUUGUGCUCGAGUGUCUGGUUGAGUGCGGGAUGAAGAAAACUCUGAAGCUUGCCAUCGAGUAUGUAGUCGAGUGGUGGUGAUGGAGAUACUCGACUUCAAGGUAGAGUGGCGAGAUCGAGUAGUGGUCUGGCAAUGAAGGUGAAGACACUCGACCUCGGGGUCGAGUGAUGGUCAGGUGAUGGGAUGAAGACACUCGACCUCGGGGUCGAGUGAUGUGGUGAAGUAGUGAUGUCCUCUACUCGACCAGGGGGUCGAGUGAUCUGUUGAGAUCUUGAAGCUCCUACUCGACCUCGGGGUCGAGUGGUUUGACAUGAUCAGGUCCGCUUCUUCCAGAUAGCUCGUCAACAGCUCCAAAUCACAUGAAAUCAACGCAAAUAUGCAAUAUGCAUGCAAAUCUAUCCUAAACAUGUAA